GACGAACGCUGGCGGCGUGCUUAACACAUGCAAGUCGAGCGCUGAAGCUUGGUGCUUGCACUGGGUGGAUGAGUGGCGAACGGGUGAGUAAUACGUGAGUAACCUGCCCUUGACUCUGGGAUAAGCCUGGGAAACUGGGUCCAAUACUGGAUACGACAUGUCACCGCAUGGUGGUGUGUGGAAAGGGUUUUACUGGUUUUGGAUGGGCUCACGGCCUAUCAGCUUGUUGGUGGGGUAAUGGCUCACCAAGGCGACGACGGGUAGCCGGCCUGAGAGGGUGACCGGCCACACUGGGACUGAGACACGGCCCAGACUCCUACGGGAGGCAGCAGUGGGGAAUAUUGCACAAUGGGCGGAAGCCUGAUGCAGCGACGCCGCGUGAGGGAUGACGGCCUUCGGGUUGUAAACCUCUUUCAGCACGGAAGAAGCGAAAGUGACGGUACGUGCAGAAGAAGCGCCGGCUAACUACGUG
rnacentral:rRNA from 1 species